rnacentral:rRNA from 1 species
CUUGCGUCCGAUUAGCUAGUUGGCGGGGCAACGGCCCACCAAGGCGACGAUCGGUAGCCGGCCUGAGAGGGUGAUCGGCCACAUUGGGACUGGGAUACGGCCCAGACUCCUACGGGAGGCAGCAGUAGGGUAUAUUGCACAAUGGGGGAAACCCUGAUGCAGCAACGCCACGUGUGGGAAGAAGCAUUUCGGUGUGUAAACCACUGUCGUGAGGGAAUAAGGCAUUGUUUCGGCGAUGUUGAAUGUACCUCGAGAGGAAGCACCGGCAAACUUCGUGCCAGCAGCCGCGGUAAUACGAGGGGUGCAAGCGUUGUUCGGAAUCACUGGGCGUAAAGGGAGCGCAGGCGGAAGCUCAAGCGGAUUGUACAAUACCGGGGCCCAACCCCGGACCUGCAGUCCGAACUGGGUUUCUUGGAU